UAAUUUUUUUUUGCUUGACAUGUUAAGCCUAUAAAUUGUAUUCCAGAUAAAGUUUACACUUUAGACUUGUUUCUAUUGCUUUGCAACAGACCCAUACAUUAAAAAAAAAAGGUCGCCAUGUUGAGUCACCUGUGUUUGUUAGUUCUAAUUGGCUGUGCUGUUGUGAUGAGCCAAGAGCAGGCUCCGUCGACGAAUGAAGAUUUCGAACAAAAACUUGCUGUGGCGAUUGAAGCAUUUAAAGAGGUAGCCAAAGAGCUUGAGGCUGGAGAGAGCUCGGAAGAUAUCAGCGACCAAUCAUUAAAGGAUUACCUUUCUUCACCUUCAAGUCGACGUUCCAACGUAGAAAUCUUAAGAAAAAGUAGAGAUUUCUGGAGUGUAUUAGGACAAAUUGCCCAAUUCGUAGGAAACGUUGCAGGCACGAUUGGACUAAUACUCGCUGGCAGAUAAACAUUUAUUUUAAGGCACUUCAAUCGGAUUUUUCCUUUAUUUAUAAGUAAUUAUUAUUUUUAAUUUAUGUUACAUGUGCUGUAAUUCUUUUUAUUUUAUUUUUAAAAAAAUCAUUUUAUUAACUUGUUUCAUUAGCUGAAUAAUAUUUAAAAAUCAUACUAUUACGUUGUAAAGAUUUGCUAGAAAAAUUGUAUUUCAAUUGUAAUUUUUAGUUUAAAAUGAUAUUUUUUUGCUAAUGGCCAAUAGAAGACACAUCAAAUCAAAACUAAGUUUAUUAUUAAAAAUAAAGUGUAUUCCUAGUCAGUUUUCUUUUAUAAGCACUUGUUUUUUCAAUUGCUUAUUCAAAUAAGUUAUUUUUUUUUGUUUUUUUGUUAUUUAAUCUCUGCAAAGGAUUUCUCCUACGUAAGAAAAUAAAGAGUAUAAAUCUUUAAA